rnacentral:rRNA from 1 species
GACAGAGGUGCCGAGCGUUAGGCGGAAUCACUGGGCUUAAAGCGUGUGUAGGCGGACUUCUAAGUACCUUGUGAAAUCCCACGGCUUCCCGUGGAACGGCUGGGUAUACUGGGGAGUCUUGAGCCACCUAGGGGCGAGUGGAACAAAUGGUGGAGCGGUGAAAAUGCGUAGAUAUCAUUUGGAACGCCAAUGGUGAAAACAACUCGCUGGGGGGUGUGCUGACGCUGAGACACGAAAGCCAGGGGGAGCGAACGGGGAUUAGA